rnacentral:rRNA from 1 species
UGGCGAGUGGCGAACGGGUGAGUAACACAUCGGAACAUGCCUAGUUGUGGGGGACAACUACUCGAAAGAGUAGCUAAUACCGCAUAAGAUCUACGGAUGAAAGCAGGGGACCUUCGGGCCUUGCGCAAUUAGAGUGGCCGAUGGCAGAUUAGGUAGUUGGUGAGGUAAAGGCUCACCAAGCCUGCGAUCUGUAGCUGGUCUGAGAGGACGACCAGCCACACUGGGACUGAGACACGGCCCAG